UUUUUAUUUAAUUAUUUUAUAAUACUACUACUACUAUAUUAUUGCUAUGUCAAUGUUCUAUCCAUUAUUAUAGGUAUUAUCAUUAUGCCAUGCCACUGAUUUGAGCACUAGCUUUUUAAAUUAAUGGUGUCUGAAAAAGCUAAUGCCCUAAAAUUGCUCAUUUGACUAUAAGUCGAGGACACUUGAAGAGAUAAAAACUCUCUUUUUAUUGGAUGAUGGAAAAAUAAAUUAGUUUUUCCAAUUGUAAAAUUUUGAUACAUGAUCACAAUUGUUUUGUUUUGCUUAAAUGGCUAUUUAUAGUAUUGUGUUAGAGAUAUGUUUUUGACAAAUGACCUUAAACAUAAUACAUUGCUGACAUUGCUUUUCAUGAAAUGAUGAUAACACAUAACAUAAUAAAUUUUAGAUCACCCUUUAAGCACCAUCUUGUGAAACUAAGUUGAAUGAGGGAUAGUUUGUUAUUGACAGUUUUAUGUGAGUUUCCAGAAUAUUGAAGCAAUUGACAGAUGAGCAAACUUUGAAAGAUAUGUUGUUGUUAUUCUGUGCUUUUUAAGUACUUGAAGUAGUGAAAUGUUGAGUUUCCACAAAUUUUCCAGUGAGAAAGGCAUAAACAAGAUCUCUUAGCUGAGAUAGUUUCAGAGGAGCAAUGUGGUAGGGAACUGUCUAAAAUUGUGACAGAAUUGCUUCCUAAUCCAAAGAGCUCUACAAUUGUGGAUAAACCAUCCCGGGCCUGAAAGAGGAGUAAUGAUAGAAAGAGGGUGUCUAAACGAUUGACUGAAGAAGCAGAGAAAUAUUUUGAGGACUUCAUUUCAAAUGUUGAAGAUACAGAUAUUUCUUCAUUUGAUGGAGAAAGGAGUGAUGCAAGUUCAACUUUAGGAGUAACAAAGGCUAGAGACGCAGUGUCAUAUUCUAGGGAAACAGAAACAAUUUAUAAUACAUCCGGAUCUAAUUCUCUUCCUGUUGAAAUGGAUGGUGUUAUUCUGCCUUGGUUGCAGUGGGAGACCGCUAAUGAUGGUUCCCCUCUUCCAUGGAAGAAUAAGAGAGAGCUUCCCGUGACUCCAAAAAUUAUCUUAUGGGAUGCAACUCAGGUAACCUUCAAACUGUCACGUAGUUAUAAUAUUUUAAUUCAUAAAUUGCUGUUCUAACCUUUGCUGAAUAAAAAGUUAUUGCACAUAACAUAUUUUCAUUUAGUUGUAAGUUGACUGCUUCACUGGCUUACAAUAGUUUCAUUUAGUUGUAAGUUGUUUGCUUCAUUGGUUUAUAAGAAAUUAGUUGCCUUUUGUACCCGUGAUAAGAAUUAUACAAUAUCAACUCUUCAGAUUUUAAAUUAAGGUUGAUAAAUUUUUAAACAAGAUUUUUUUGGCUGAAAUUUCAAGUUUAAUAGAACUUUAUAUUUUAUAGGUUGAAAUUUGAUAGCAUAUAGAACAUUGAAAAGGGAAAAUAAACAAACUUUACAAUCUUUUUUUUUGAUAAGUACAAACUUUACAAUCUUUACUCGUGUGUAUCUUAAAAGUGUAAAGUUUAAGUUGGUACAUGCAGUUUUCAAACUUUGACUUUUCUCAAUUAUUUGGUCAUGUCUCAUUUGAGUUUUAAUUGUUUUACAAAAUUGUUCAAAUGGCAUUUAUAUAGGCAAACAUGAUGUGGUUACAAUAAUUUAUGUUUGUAUUUGCUUGAAGUCAAUGCUAUUGCUGUGUAAUAAAAUGUUGCUUACUUGCCAAUGCAUUCAACCCAAACUGUCUACCAACCCUUUAGCUGUCCAACCACCCAAGUAACUGGGUUGACUUGUGGCAUCAUGCUGAUAUCAAAAUGCCUAUUAACAAA